rnacentral:rRNA from 1 species
GACGAACGCUGGCGGCGUGCUUAACACAUGCAAGUCGAACGGAAAGGCCCUGCUUUUGUUGGGGGCUCGAGUGGCGAACGGGGGAGUAACACGUGAGUAACCUGCCCUUGACUUUGGGAUAACUUCAGGAAACUGGGGCUAAUACCUGAUAGGAGCUCCUGCUGCAUGGUGGGGGUUGGAAAGUUUCGGCGGUUGGGGAUGGACUGGCGGCUUAUCAGCUUGUUGGUGGGGUAGUGGCUUACGAAGGCUUUGACGGGUAGCCGGCCUGAGAGGGUGACCGGCGACAUUGGGACUGAGAUACGGCGCAGACGCCUACGGGAGGCAGCAGUGGGGAAUAUUGCACAGUGGGCGGAAGCCUGAGGCAGCAACGCCGCGUGCGGGAUGACGGCCUUCGGGUUGUAAACCGCUUUCGCCUGUGACGAAGCGUGAGUGACGGUAAUGGGUAAAGAAGCACCGGCUAACUACGUG